rnacentral:rRNA from 1 species
GACGAACGCUGGCGGCGUGCUUAACACAUGCAAGUCGAACGGUGAAGGGACCGGUUUUUGCUGGUUCUGGAUGAGUGGCGAACGGGUGAGUAACACGUGAGUAACCUGCCCCCUUCUUCUGGAUAACCGCAUGAAAGUGUGGCUAAUACGGGAUAUUCUGCGCCUGCUGCAUGGUGGGGGUGGGAAAGAUAUUGUUUCGGUGGGGGAUGGGCUCGCGGCCUAUCAGCUUGUUGGUGGGGUGAUGGCCUACCAAGGCGGUGACGGGUAGCCGGCCUGAGAGGGUGGACGGUCACACUGGGACUGAGACACGGCCCAGACUCCUACGGGAGGCAGCAGUGGGGAAUAUUGCACAAUGGGCGCAAGCCUGAUGCAGCGACGCCGCGUGAGGGAUGGAGGCCUUCGGGUUGUAAACCUCUUUCGCCAGUGAAGCAGGCCUGUCCCUUUUGUGGGUGGGUUGACGGUAGCUGGAGAAGAAGCGCCGGCUAACUACGUG